AGAGAGAGACAUGCGCGCAUAUCAAUAAGCGGAGGAAAAGAAACUAACAAGGAUUCCCUUAGUAACGGCGAGUGAAGCGGGAAGAGCUCAAAUUUGAAAUCUUCAAGGUUUUACCUUGACGAAUUGUAGUUUAAAGAAGUGUUUUCUGCUGAAGUUUUGGUAAAAGUUCUUUGGAAUAGGACAUCAUAGAGGGUGAGAAUCCCGUAUUUGACCAUUAUUUUCAGCUUUGUGAUACACUUUCAAAGAGUCGGAUUGUUUGGGAAUGCAGUCCAAAAUGGGUGGUAAAUUUCAUCUAAAGCUAAAUAUUGGCGAGAGACCGAUAGCGAACAAGUACCGUGAGGGAAAGAUGAAAAGAACUUUGAAAAGAGAGUUAAACAGUACGUGAAAUUGUCAAAAGGGAAGCGUUUGACACCAGUGUUGUUUUCUCGAAAAUCAAUUAAAAAUGGCUCGAUUUUGUAUUGCUUGAGACCUUAAAAGCUCACUGUACAUUUUUCGUGUCUUUUUUAAUGCACUUUUCGUUUAACAAGUCAACAUCAGUUUCUUUUGUUGUAAAAGGGUCAUUGGAAGGUGGCUUUCUUUUCGGAGAAAGUGUUUAUAGCCUUUGGCCUCUGCAAUCGGAGAGACUGAGGUCUGCAGCGUAGACUCUUCGGGGUUAGAUACAUUUGUGCUAAGUUAUAGCUUUUUAUAGACAACUUGUUGACUAUGAUUAGUCAUUGUAGCUUACUCGCUUAUGCUAUUUUACCUACGCUUAGGAUGUUGAAGAUGUAGCACAUCAU
rnacentral:rRNA from 1 species